GUGUCAGCAGCCGCGGUAAUACGUAGGGUGCGAGCGUUAAUCGGAAUUACUGGGCGUAAAGCGUGCGCAGGCGGUUUCGUAAGACAGCUGUGAAAUCCCCGGGCUUAACCUGGGAACUGCGGUUGUGACUGCGAGACUAGAGUCAGGCAGAGGGGGGUGGAAUUCCACGUGUAGCAGUGAAAUGCGUAGAGAUGUGGAGGAACACCGAUGGCGAAGGCAGCCCCCUGGGCUAUGACUGACGCUCAUGCACGAAAGCGUGGGGAGCAAACAGGAUUAGAUACCCUGGUAGUCCACGCCCUAAACGAUGCCAACUAGGUGUUGGGGAAGGAGACUUCCUUAGUACCGUAGCUAACGCGUGAAGUUGGCCGCCUGGGGAGUACGGUCGCAAGAUUAAA
rnacentral:rRNA from 1 species